UGCUAUACAUGCAGUCGAGCGGACUUAUCCUUCGGGAUGAGUUAGCGGCGGACGGGUGAGUAACACGUAGGUAACCUGCCUAUAAGAUCGGGAUAACUAUCGGAAACGAUAGCUAAGACCGGAUAACUGGUUUUCUCGCAUGAGAGAAUUAUGAAACACGGAGCAAUCUGUGGCUUAUAGAUGGGCCUGCGGCGCAUUAGCUAGUUGGUAGGGUAAUGGCCUACCAAGGCGACGAUGCGUAGCCGACCUGAGAGGGUGAACGGCCACACUGGGACUGAGACACGGCCCAGACUCCUACGGGAGGCAGCAGUAGGGAAUCUUCCGCAAUGGACGCAAGUCUGACGGAGCAACGCCGCGUGAGUGAUGAAGGUUUUCGGAUCGUAAAGCUCUGUUGCCCUAGACGAACAGCAUGGGGAGUAACUGCCUGUUGUGUGACGGUAUAGGAGAAGA
rnacentral:rRNA from 2 species